UGGGGAAUCUUCCGCAAUGGACGAAAGUCUGACGGAGCAACGCCGCGUGAGUGAAGAAGGUUUUCGGAUCGUAAAACUCUGUCUUUUGGGGCGAACGUGAGUAUGGUGAACAAUCAUAGUCAGUGACGGUACCAAAGGAGGAAGCCACGGCUAACUACGUGCCAGCAGCCGCGGUAAUACGUAGGUGGCAAGCGUUGUCCGGAAUUAUUGGGCGUAAAGAGCGCGUAGGCGGGAUAGUCAGUCUGUUGUAAAGUGCGGGGCUCAACCCCGUGAUGGCAAUGGAAACAGCUAUUCUUGAGUGCAGGAGAGGAAAGUGGAAUUCCCAGUGUAGCGGUGAAAUGCGUAGAUAUUGGGAGGAACACCAGUGGCGAAGGCGACUUUCUGGACUGUGUCUGACGCUGAGGCGCGAAAGCCAGGGGGAGCGAACGGGAUUAGAUACCCCCGGUAGUCCUGGCCGUAAACGAUGGGUACUAGGUGUGGGAGGUAUCGACCCCUUCCGUGCCGGAGUUAACGCAAUAAGUACCCCGCUGGGGAGUACGGUCGCAAGACUGAAACUCAAAGGAAUUGACGGGGUCAUAGCUGUUUCCUG
rnacentral:rRNA from 1 species